rnacentral:lncRNA from 1 species
CCACCCUCCGAUCAGUUUUUCUGCUCCUGUGUAGUUUAAAGGCAAAAGACUCUGGAGAUAGUAUCAGAUCCCACAGGUUUGAUCCUACAAGACUGCCCAACUUCAGAUGCCGACUGCAAACCCCAGGCUGUGGCCUGAUCAGCUGGCUAUAAAUUGGACUUCCAAUGACCCCCACCUUGAAUUCUAUUAAUUUGCUGGAGCAGCUCACAGAACUUGGGGAAACACUUUAUUUACCUCUACUCAUUUAUUAUAAAGAAAGGAUACAAAGAGCCAGAUGGAAGAGAUGCAUAAAGGAAGAUGCUGCAACCCACCGAGAACAACAUUAGACUAUACUAUGCCCACAUUAAUUACUUUCCCCCUCAUCACCUUAGAAAAUACUUUCAUUUUUCAGUAUUGUGUGGACACCUGUGAGCUGGUUAUUUUGAAAAAGGAAAAACCCAACCAAUUAAAAUGGACUGCUCUAUUAAAGAACAUAACAUAAUCAGGGCACAUGGCAAGUAUUUAUUUGUUUUUUAAAAAUAAGUAUGUUGAGGGAUGGGAGUGAUUCUGACUAUCAAAUAUU